rnacentral:rRNA from 1 species
AGUGAACGCUGGCGGUAGGCCUAACACAUGCCAGUCGAACGGCAGCACAGUAAGAGCUUGCUCUUACGGGUGGCGAGUGGCGGACGGGUGAGGAAUACAUCGGAAUCUACUUUUUCGUGGGGGAUCACGUAGGGAAACUUACGCUAAUACCGCAUACGACCUACGGGUGAAAGCAGGGGAUCUUCGGACCUUGCGCGAAUGAAUGAGCCGAUGUCGGAUUAGCUAGUUGGCGGGGUAAAGGCCCACCAAGGCGACGAUCCGUAGCUGGUCUGAGAGGAUGAUCAGCCACACUGGAACUGAGACACGGUCCAGACUCCUACGGGAGGCAGCAGUGGGGAAUAUUAGACAAUGGGCGCAAGCCUGAUCCAGCCAUACCGCGUGGGUGAAGAAGGCCUUCGGGUUGUAAAGCCCUUUUGUUGGGAAAGAAAAGCAGCAGGUUAAUACCCCGCUGUUCUGACGGUACCCAAAGAAUAAGCACCGGCUAACUUCGUG